UUGAAAUUUCUCAUGUAAACACAGCCUAAGACCAGAUAUAGUUCUGUACUCUACGAGUCGUAGGAUUGUAUUCUGGAUGGAGUUGACAGUUUGUGCUGAGGACAGAUUCAGUGUCAGUAACUCGCGGAAGGACAGGCGGUAUGCGGAUCUGGCCGAUCAAUGCCGAGCAAACGGGUGGCAGGUCGUUUCUUUUUCGGUUGAGUAAGACGUCUCUGCGAAGCAGCUACAUCAUCUGGUUGCGGCGUCAACAAAAACACUGGUCGGAAGAUCCACUUUUCUGAGUCUCUCUCUCAGUCUCUCUCUCUCUUCCUGUACAGCAAACUGGAUUCCAGUCCAUCAGCUAUGUGCGUGACAUUCACCCGUGGCUCUCCAACCUGGAUGCAGUUGAUUUGAGACUUGCAGCUCAGCGUCAGGGUCUCCUGACUCUUAACCAAGUACAUCGUCUGGAGGACGUCCGCAGUGCACACGGCAAAGAGACGCACAACAGAGAUGUGUUGUGCCUUGUGGAACCGCAGGGCACUGACGGUUUCAUCAAGCUCUACAACGGUCUAUCAAGAGAACUCGUCGGCAUUGGUGAAGGUCUGCAGAUGAUGAAAGCUGUGAUUCCCGUCGAUCAACAUGCUCGUCUAGAAUCCUGAAUGCACGGUCUAACGUUAUGAAGAGAUCAAGUACAGUUCAUGCCUAGGACUGUAGAGAUUAUUCCCGUAGCUAUGCAAGAGGCGUUACUUUAGUAGCAUCUGGCGCUAGCCAGGGUCCACACGGCUUUCAUUUUUUUAUUUAUUUUUUUAUUGAAAAA